GCAUUGGUGGUUCAGUGGUAGAAUUCUCACUUUCUGUACAAGAGACCCAGGUUUGAUUCCCGGCCAAUGCA
rnacentral:tRNA from 1 species